rnacentral:rRNA from 1 species
CCUACGGGGGACUGCAGUCGAGAAUCAUUCACAAUGGGGGAAACCCUGAUGGUGCGACGCCGCGUGGGGGAAUGAAGGUCUUCGGAUUGUAAACCCCUGUCAUGUGGGAGCAAAUUAAAAAGAUAGUACCACAAGAGGAAGAGACGGCUAACUCUGUGCCAGCAGCCGCGGUAAUACAGAGGUCUCAAGCGUUGUUCGGAAUCACUGGGCGUAAAGCGUGCGUAGGCUGUUUCGUAAGUCGUGUGUGAAAGGCGCGGGCUCAACCCGCGGACGGCACAUGAUACUGCGAGACUAGAGUAAGGGAGGGGGAACCGGAAUGCUCGGUGUAGCAGUGAAAUGCGUAGAUAUCGAGAGGAACACUCGUGGCGAAGGCGGGUUCCUGGACAUUAACUGACGCUGAGGCACGAAGGCCAGGGGAGCGAAAGGGAUUAGAUACCCCAGUAGUC